AGGAAUUAUGUGUAUGUAUGCGUAUUGCAAUUUUAUUACAUUCAUUGUGUAUUAUUUUAUUUUAAUUAUUAUUGACCUUUAUCUACUGUUUCAUGUAUGUUGGCUACAAAUUAGGGAUCUUUCAAAUGAUAUCUUUUGAAAAGAUAGGGGUUAUUUUUCCUCCUAUGACAAGCGAUUCCAAGUUGUCUGCCCAGAGCAGCUGUCACUCCUUAUGAGUGUCACUGAUCUGCCUCUCUCCUCUGCCAUUCUUAACCUUGGCUUUGUCUUCACAUCACAAGAUGGCUGCUGCACCUCCGGGUAUCAUGCCUGCAUUCCAGGCAGAGAAAAUCCAGAAGAGGAAGGACAAAAGAUGAUGAACAAAUGGAUUUCUCCUGUGGAGGCAUUGUCGUUUUAUUCUAGAAGGGCUGUAUCCCUCAGGGACUUCUGCCCACACCUCACCGACCAGAAUGGUGUCUCAUGGCCGCCCCGAACAGCAAGGGUGGCAGGUGAUCUGCAUCUUAGCUUAUAUGGCCUUUAGAGCAGAGGCAGGCACAAAGGGAGGGAACUAGAAAUGGGAGUUGUCAGAUAACCUACAGGGCACCCUCUGACACUUUGAGAACAAAGGACGACCAGGGUCCCCACAUACUGGGUGCUGAUGGUGGUUCCUUCCUGCAGAAACUUACUCUGUGGGGGUAACCUAAGGCUAAACUGUAAAUUUUCAUGUAAGUAAAUUUGGGUCCCAGAUGCAGUGUUGUGAGUUUUCCAAGUUUAGUUCAUUUGGUGAGCAUGUGGGGUCUUUUACAUUAAGAGCCCAAAGGUGCAAGGAACGAGGGAGCAUUAUAUCCACUGCAGAGGCAGUUUGGGACAAGAAGGAUCAGGAUUUGGGAACUUCCACGGGGUCAUCUGGGAAAUACUAUCGAAGUUGUAAGAGCAGAGGUGGAUUCCAUGACCCAUGUCUCCUUGGGUCCCAGACUGCAGGGUGCCCUGGUCCAUGCCUUGCCCCAGGUCCAUGCCACAGCCUCCAUCUGUUGGUUUUGCCUUUGUCCUGCUGUAUAAUUCCAAGUCAGGGGUCCAGAUGCUGCUGCAGCCGAGAUUCAGGGGACGGCUAGAAAGGCAGACACAGUGUUGGCCCUGGUCCUCUGAGGUGGGAAGAUUCCUGAGUAUAGAGCUGCAAGACCCUGGAAGCACAGUGGUCCUAAAGGGCUUCCCGCUAUGUGUGGGUGGCUAGGUGAGGGGAGCCAGAGGACCAGAGAGCCAGGAGGACACGCAUCCUUGUCCCCCUGUGCUGGCUGCAGCACCAGCACCAACCUCUGUAGGGCAUCACCCCCCGUUUAUUCUCAACUUCUCUUCCCCUCCAUUUGCAGUCAUCUCUUCCUCCCUUCCUGCGGGAUGUAAUGGACGCAAAGACAGUUCCAGAAACUGCAGCCCUCCCGCCUCCUCUUUCUAUCUCUUCUCCCCUCCCCCCUUCCUCCUCCCAGCCCUCCCUCCCACUCCUCCUCUUGAAAAUGCCCUGCACCCUGUCCUGUGUCCUCCAGUCGCCCUCCCACAAAGGGACUGGGUUUGAAAUGCGCUCAGGGUGAAGAAGAGUUCAGUCCUCUCCUGCCUGCCCUGCCCCCUCGGUCACACACUCCCUGUGCCACCCCCAGUCCACCCUGCGGGGAGCCUGCUCUCUCUGUGGCAGUGUCUUAGGGGACAAUGCACGUCUUUUAGAGCAGCCUGUUUGUGCGUGGUGUUAAUUCUCAAGCGUGCGCAGGCUGGAGCGUCAGCAUCCCAAAGGGAUGUUAACACAGUUGUCCACUGAUCUCAUCAAACACAGCGACUGGGGCCCAGAGUGAGGCUGGAAUUAUGAAAUCAAGGCAUAAAGCAAAACGCAGGAUCACUCUUUUCUGUCAGCUGUUGUCAGACUCUCCUGCCGGUCCUCAGAUGUGCCUCACGUGCCCUUGGGAGACAAAUCGAACUGUGGGAGUGAAUGGAGGACGCUUUCAUUACUGUUAUUAAUAACCACGUAUUCAUUGUCCACAGAGUGCGAACAGAAACUUACUCAGCAGGAGCCGGGCCGCCUCCCCCAUGUAUAACAGGGCUUAAACAGUAUCGAUUUAGUCCUGGUUUUAUUGUAUCUCUUGUUGAGCUUCCGUAGUCUUUUGUUUGUACAAACGUUACAGGGGAAGCACUUAGUUUCGAGUGCUUGUUGUCCGCGGUGGAAAAUGCAAACAGAGCAGUGCCUUCCAGACCCCAACCCCCUUCUCACCAACUCCAUGUAUCUUUCUGGGCAAAUCAGAAAUUCUCUAAGCCUAUAUUCAGGGUUAUGCUCGUAAAAGUACAAAUAGCAUCGUAUUAUCCACACUGCAGAGCAUUUCACUUUUCUCACUUAAAACAUCCCUGCAGAUGCCGCUUUCUCAGCCGGCGCAGGGCUGAGUCGGGCGGGCUGGCAGCGCCCCACCUGAGGGCUGCUGCACGGUGGUCACGCCGCCUCCCUGUGGGGAGUCCUUCCCGCUCUGCUGUGGCAAACGACGCCACACUCUGUUGUUCGUGUCAUCAGCCACCAGUUUUGUCAAUGGUUUCCUUUGCUGUGCAAAAAGCUUUUAAAUUUUAUUACGUCCCAUAUGUUUAUUUUUGCUUUUAUUUAUUUUCCCUUGGAUAUUGAUCUAAGAAAAUAUUGCUACAAUUUUGUCAAAGAGUGUUUCUCCUAUGUUCUCCUCUAGGAGUUUUGUGGUGUCAUGUCUUACAUUUAGGUCUUUGAACCGUUUUGAGUUUGUUUUUGUGAAUGGUGUGAGGGAGUGUUCUAACGUCACUGGUUUACAUGUGGCUGUCCAGCUUUCCCAACCCUUGUUGAAGAGACUGUCUUUCCCCCAUUGUAUAUUCUUGCCUCCUUUGUUGAAGAUUAAUUGAUCAUAGGUACCUGGGUUUAUUUCUGGGCUCUCUACUCUGUUCCAUUGUUCUGUGUGUCUGUUUUUGUGCCAGUACCACAGUGUUGUGAUUACUGUAACUUUGCAGUGUGGUCUGAAGUCUGGAAGGGUUAUGUCUCUAGCUUUGAUUCUUUUUCCUCAGGAUUGCGUUGGCAAUUCUGGGUCUUUUUUGUUUCCAUAUAAAUUUUAGGAUUAUUUGUUCUAGUUCUGUGAAAAAUGCCAUGGGUAUCUUGAUAAGGGUUGCAUUAAACUUGUAGAUUGCUUUGGGUAGUAUGGCCAAUUUAACAAUAUUAAUUCUUCCAACCCAAGGACAUGGGACAUCUCUCCAUUUCUUUGAAGCAUCCCCCAGAAGCAGAAAAGCUGAAGAAAGGGAUUCCCCCCUGGAGCCUCCAGAAGGAACCAGCCCUGUAACACCUUGACUUCAGCCCAGUGACACUGAUUUCAGAAUGCUGGCCUCCAGCACUGGGAGAGAAUACAUCUGUGUGCUUUAAGCAGCUAAGUGUGUAGGGAUUUCUUACUGCAGCCACAGGAAACUAAUACAGCUGUUUUUUCUGCAGGAGGGCCUAUCUCUCCUGCCUGUGGCCAGAGCUUCACUGUGGCAAUGGGGCUGUCCUACUGAUGUCAGGCUUGGCCACGUGACUUGCUUCAGCCAAUGAAGUGUGAGCAGAGGGGCUGCAGGGCCUGGCCACGUGACUUGCUUUGGUCAAUGAGGUGUGAGCAGAGGGCGCAUGGGGGCACUUCUGUGGUCCAGCAGAGCCUCACGUGAUGGCCACUGCCCAACUCCUUCUCCCCUUCUCUGCCGUGAGAACAGAGCAUCUGCUCUUGACUGCAGACCUGGGACUGGUGGGAGGAGGAGCAGAGCUGCAGCCAGCACAUGGCCACCUGCAUGAGUGGGAAACAGCCCUUCCUUGUCAGCCUCUGAGAUGGUUUGUCCCUGCUCACAGCUUGGCUCCUGGCAGGGCUGGCCCGUGGGUGGCAUUGGCAGGAGGGCCGCAGCUGCAGGGACACUCUCUCCUGCUUCUCUGGCAGUCUCUGGGUGUUGGCUGUGGUUCCAACUCCCGCCGGGCAGCCCCCUCUGAGGACCCAGCUCCCAUCAGAAGGCCUGGCCUCUGGGCUCUGCUAAGACCCACCUCUCCCUGGUUCCCCUGCAGCCCUGGCGGCUCCUCCUGCUCUUGCUAGUCCUUGGAUCGCCUCAUGGUUUGGUUUUCCUUGUAACUAGUUUUCCAUAUUAAGUGGCCUCUGUGGAACUGCCUGGAGUGGCCCCUGUUUUCCUGGCUGGAUCCAGCAGGAGUAUCAGGUGAGCGAAUUGAAGAGAAGAGGACUGCGGCUAUCCGCAGAGGGAGCAGAACACAACAUGUGGCCGUGUCUUGGUGGUAGGAGAGGAAUGUAAGAAAUGCAUGGACUCUUCAACUAAUGAAAUAUAAAUUCUUCAUCCUCAAAAAGGGUUGCCAAAACCCCUAAUUUCUUCCUUACACAAAUACAUGUGAGCUCACACACAGGCACAUACACGCGUGUAUCUGAGGGGCCUGCCUCUGUGCUUCCCUGGGAACCACAGUGAGGAAGCUUUAAUCUAGAGACUCCUACUGAAGCAUGGGAAAAGAAAAACAUCCUGCAUGUUUGCAAACAUGGCUGCUAUUAUUGUCCUGCCUGCUUGCAAUGUGACUUUGAAGUCUUUUCAUCAAGAGGUGCGGUCUGUUUCUCCGCUGCUUGCAAUGCGCUGACCUCAUAACUUGCUGUGACCAGCUCAGCCCUGAGUGUAGGCUUCAAGGGGCCGAACGUGCUUCCGCUCUCUCUCUCUGUGAGAACCCUGCCCAGCCACCAUUGUGGACCAGUUAGGACCAGCCCGCUGGAGGGUGGGGGGCUCGUGGAGUAGCAUGAAGGGGAAUCAUGGCAGCAAGUGGAAUGAAGUCUGCUAAUCAGCUGGCCUUGGUAUAGGGAGAUUACCCUAGAUGGUUUGGGUGGGUCCAGUGUCAUCACAAGGGUCCUUAAAAGUGGAAGACUCCCAGAAGAAGAGGGUAAGAGGGAGAUGUGAACAGAGAAGAGAGUGUGAAGAGAGGCGAUGCUGCAGCUCUGAGGAGGGAGGACGGGGCCAGGAGCCAGGGCAGGGCUUUCCUACCCUCCUGAGGCUUCUAGUCACUCAUUUCCCACGUUUGCACCACCCAGCCCUCCUCCUUCCUUGUUCCCUUCUUAUCCAGCCAGGACCUGCAGCUCUGCCUGUAGUCACUCCUGAUGACCUCUCCCGAUCCCCUUGCCCUCUCCCCUCUGUUUUAUAAUUCACCUGGAAACACCCCAGUUCUGAUUAGACCUGUCCGUCGGCUCCGAGUGUCUGGACAGUGCAGGAGACAGUGACACCCCUGGGCCCACAUUCUCACUAGACUCACGCCCCCGACCGCAGUCGGGCCUCGGCGCAGCCUGAAAUCUGGCAGCGCUGCUGCUCCCUCUCUGGGGUCGUGCCGUGGCGGUCAGCAGGCGGGUGCCUCUCUCCGUGGUUCUUAAAGCUGGUGAGGUGUUGGCUUCCCGGAGCCCGGCCACCGUCCUGCGGCUCCGCCUGUUCGGUGGGGCUCAGGCGUCACUCGACGCUGCUCUUUCUCUUCCCAUUCCAUCGGCGUGUGAGAGCGCGCCCCUUUCCUGUUCCUGCUGUGACGGAUCGCCGCACGGCUGGUGGCUUCAGACAGCAGAAGAGUAUUCUUCCGGGGCUCUGGGAGCCGGAAGUCUGAAACCAGUGUCGGCAGGGCCACGCUCCCUCCAGGGGCCUUAGGGGAGGAUCCUCGCUCCUUCCAGCUUCUGGAAACGCCACGUCUCUCUAAUCUGCCUCCGCCCACACGUGGCCGUGUGUCCUGUCUCUUACAAGGACGUUCUCAUUGUAGAUACAGAGGCCGCACAGCCAGCCAGCCCUACUGGAAGCACUGAGCAUCAGAGGCGGGUGAAUCAGCAUUUGAAGAUGGAUCUAGGCUGAAUUUGGAGAUUUUUGACUUGGCCGUCAGCUGAAAUUCAGCAGUUUCUCCUGAAGCUUUUGGUGACCUUUUGGUUUCAUUUAAGCUCAAAUGCCAAAGGCAACAGGUGAGUGGAUGGAUUGGCAAACUCUUGAGUGAAGGUUGCACCACAGAGAUUCUGAGAUCAAUUUAUCCACCGCAGAACUAAAGUGAAUCUCCUCUGGGUUUUCCUUUCCAUAAAGGAGGAAUGGGGGGUCAGGCAGGAAUUAGAAACCAGCUGAGCCGGGUUGGGAGGAGCAUGGCGCCCGGGCAGGAGGCAUGAACAGACCCCAACACCUGCCCCUGCCGCGCUCAGCAGCCCCGUCACACUGUCCGGGUACAAGUUCUCAUAAAGAGACUGCGGGCAAGUGUUUGGCUGAAGCUAAGUGCUUCCCACUCUCAGCACAGUUAUGUGUUUCUGAAUAACACCCGAAGCGCCCUUUGAAUGUGAAGAUGGGUUAGAUCAAAACAUCACAGUGUACCUGCACCCCUGCCAACCCUGUUUAACGUGCCUGCGGUUUCUGGCAUUCAGGGGACUCGUGGCUUUAGCUUGUGCUUUUAUGCAUCUGGUCUGCAGCUUGUUCAUCCAGACUGGAGAUACUCAUAAAUAGAGAAACAAAGGGGGACAUAAAAUAUUAAUACUGUGUCCGUAUUGAAGUAUAAUAAGCAGCAGUGAGCCUGUGCUGAGCUGUCGGGACGCACGCUGGACUGUAAAAUGUGAGCUGGGGCUGGAUUCUUCAUUAUCUCGUGGACCCGAAGCCUUGCUAGUCACAUUAUUCUCUUCCAGGCUCAUUUCAGAACAUUUUCGCUGCAGUGCUGUGGUGGCGGGGUGGCUUCCUCAGGCUUCUUUGGUAUGAAUGAUUUCUCCUUCCACUUCUUGAACUCGUAAAAAGGCUGAGCUGUGUGUAAGAACUCUGAGAAAGCAGAGAGGAACUGUUAAUGAAACAUCUGAGGGGGUGGAAGCCCCAGUGCCCAAGGAGGACAGAGACCUCCUGGGCGAGAGGAGGGCGCACGUCGGCUCAUCACUUGGAGGCUCAGGGUCUGGACCGUCAGCCGUGUGUCGCAGUCGGGGAAGAGCCUGGCCCGGGAAACGCGUCUGCACUGCGAGCUCUGCCAAGCUCGGUCCUACCCAGAAUUCCUCUCUCUUUCUUAUUUUUCAAAAGAAGAGACUCUUUUCCAUGGUCUUGGUUUCUCCUCCAUCACCACCAACGAGCCGCAGGGACAGGCUUUUGGGAAAAUCGCACUUGUCUUUCGGCACAAAGCUCUGGGCUGCUCUCGACCACAUUUGAGCCUUGUUUAAUUAAGUGUGGUCCCUGAGCUGAGUGAGUUUUAAUUAUAUUCAAAACAGCUUUUAAAGAAUGAAUAAAUGAACGAAUAAACAAUACAACAAGUAAAUAACUGUGAAAGCUCGGAGACAUUUUUCCAGAUUUCCUUGACACUCCUUCGCAGGGGGAUGGAGUAGCGAUCCCGCCCCUCGAAUGGUGGUCAGUAGAAUGCAGAGGGGGGAUGUCUGGUUUCUCAGCUCAGCCUUCAAGAAACUAGUAACUGCUACUUUCUGCCUCUUGGGAAACUUAGUCAAGGACCCAGUGCCAUUCUGUGAGGAAGCUAAAGCUGCCUGGUGGAGACGGCCACAUGGAGAGGACCCCAGAGGCAGCACCAACCUGCCAGCUCUGAGAUGUGCCGUCUUGGAAGCAGAUCCAGUUGAGCUGGGUCGAGCGAGGCCACGUGGAGCGGAGCCCAGCUUCCCUGCUGAGCCCCGCUCAGCAAAGGAGUGAGGGAGAUGAAUAAGGGAGUUGUUCUGAGGCAUGGUGCUUGGGGGUCAUUGUUCUGCAGCAAGAGUGAACUAAAUCCGACUUGUAAGGGUUAUGACAUUGAAUGAUGUAAGCCACAGAUAUUGCGACAUCUCCUGUCACUAGAGUGCAGCCUCCAUGGCCUUGGUAGUCAGAUACAGGCCAAGAUUAGAACCCCAGGCUCCUUAUCUGUAAAGAAAACUGUGUCCUUACGUGCACGUCUGAAGAUGAAGUUGGAGAUGCCAUGUGCCUAGGGAUGCUCUUGGCAGAGAGCCUUCCUCAGCGUGGUUUGCUUCCUUUUGUCUUCCCGAACCCCUCUCCCCUACUUCCUGGAAAUGACUGAUUUUUAUUUGCUUUGCUUUGGUUUCAGAAGUGAUCUGGAAUAAAAAAGAACAUGGAGAGAGUCACUGUCUGAGACGAGGAAAGGGAGACUUAGAGCUCAGGGAGGGGAGAGAGACAAUCUUUCCUACAGUUCAGACUUAUUAUAAAAACAAUUUGCAUGUAUUGCUGUUCAACAGAAGGAAACAAGAAUAAAAAUGUUUUGACGGAAGUCACCUAGAGGUGGAAUAAAAUUCACUUUCCACAGCGAAAUGAAUAUCUAAGAAGGGUAGGUCCUAAGUCACUUGUUUCCAGCAUUUGUUUUUCAAAGAGCCCUAACAAGCAGGAGCGCUGGCCCUGGUGAUGGGGAAUGCACACGCUGCUGGAGGCCCAGUCUGCGCCUGGCCUUGAAAGGCUCGAGCUGUGAGCAUCUUGUCCCUCUCAGGCUGUGACACGAGUCUCAGCUGCGGUGGGUGGAGCAGGCGCACCAGGACUCAGACGGCUGAUAAGGAAAAACCUCGGAGCCAGGCUCCUCGUGAGCUGGGAGCGCUGCUGGUCUUUGGCAGAAGGAGAUGAGUGAGGACGGGCUUUCCUGCCUGGCCGCUCCCAGCUCACCCUCUUCGUCUUCCUCUGUCAGUGUCCAGGCAAUCAGCAGGAGGCCCGGGUCAGUGUCUUAUAGCAGGAUCACAUCCUGGGAGACAGGAGGACCUCCCUGCCACUAUCACACCUGGAUGCUUAAACAUUUCCUAAACAUUCCGGUUCGCCAUCUCUCCAAAGAGGGGUGUUUUGAGCACAAAGCACCACGCGGAUCCUUUCUCCCGUGGGAGGGACUCAUGAGUGCGAGUCAGUGCCGGCUUCUCCCCUCCCCACAGACAGGGCCCGUCUCACCUGGGAAAGGCUGUGUGAUGUGAACACUGAGGUACGAGGUGUGGAGGGAUCUGUCUGAUCUGCAAACUUUGGUGUCUGUCUGGAAUGCAACAUCCCCCAAAGGCAGUGUCAGGAAUUCCAGUGCUGGGGUGCAGAUUGGCAGUUACCAGGUGGAGAGGUCCUGUGGACAGAUUUGCCUGGGAGACCCCAGAACUUAACAGGUCUCUUUGCUGUGGGAUUUGUCAGAGACUUUAAGGUUCAGUGGGACUUUCCAAGAGGCGUAUCAUAUUCAUGUUGUUCCAAACUUUCAUGACCACUUGCUGGGAGGAACUUGGAAGACUAGGGCCUUGUGGGUAUCAGUUGGGAAGUCUUGACAUCUAGGACCUGAGAUGUUAUUAAGUUUUUUAAAAAGUCAAAAAGAAGCUCGGAUUCACUUUUUUCUUCGCAUGGACCUUCUUUACUACUCUCCUCACUGCUUUCAGGGGAUUCCUGCUCUCCUUUCUGUGUCACCCAAGCAUGGUGCUUCUUCCCCUCUGGGGAGGGCCCUCGUCCGACUGAACCGCCCCUCCACCAGCCCCUUCAUCAACGAUUUUCUCCCUUGAGUCUCACUGCAUCACAGCCUGGUCCUUCUGGCUGAUCUCUCCCUAAGACUUGGAAGAUGUCUAUCACCCUGGUGAGGUGGGGACCUUGGUACCUCUGCACCUACUCAUGCCUUUUUUGGAUCUACUGACAUGCGGCUCGCAGGUACACCUUUUCUCCUCCAUGGACACAGGGGUUCAGGAAUUUAUAAAUCUCUUUCCGGUUUGUGGUUCUGUUUUUUUAUUUUUAUUUUUUGUGGUGGGGAGGUAAUUAGGUUUGUUUAUUGUUUAUUUAUUUGUGGAGGUACUGGGGAUUGAACCUAGGACCUCGUGCAUGCUAAGCACACACUCUACCACUGAGCUAUACCCUACCCUUUUAUAAGUCUCUUUCUGUAAAGGGCCAGAUUGUAAAUGCUUUCAGCUUUGCUGGCCAUCUGGUCUCUGUUGCAACUACUCAGCUCUGUGAGUGCAGCCUGAAAACAGCCACAGACAGUGGGGAAGGGAGUGGGUUAGAGUUUGCCAACCCUCGCUCUAGAGUGUAUCAUGGGUUUCCUUGGGGCACUUAACAGUCACCAAAUUAUCAUCCUUCCUUCCAGCCACAAAGCUGGAUUAUGAGAUACAGAAUUUGACUUACAUUUUAUUUCACCCAAGGAUUGAACUUGUGCCUGAGCAGGAACCUUAAUGGACGGGGCCUGGACUCCCUGCUGGCCAUUCAGGGCCAUGAGCGGAAAUGGACGGGGAGGAGACUUGGACACAAUGUCAUGACUAACACUUAGGACUGCCCAUCAGUGAUGGUCCAUUCGGGAGUCAGCGAGUGAGAGGCUGCUGCUGCCGGGUGUGCAGGUGCUGCGGUUUGCCUGGCCCAGCGCUAGCGUGCCUUAUCCAGUUCCCUCUGCCAGAUCAAAUAGGAACGAUGCCUGUUGGAAAAAUGAGCUGAAGCCGGGAAUAUGACAUUGAGCUAUUGAACUGCUCUGAUGGACUCCAGAGCCUGAUACAGCCACACCUGGCAGCCACAGCCUCAGCGUCGUCUGGCUGCUCAUCAGCUUUGCAGUGACGUUAACAGGAUACUUCCUGCUCCAGGGAUUAUGGCUGUAAACGCUGCCCCCCCUGCACCCCUAGCAAAAACACGUGAGGCCGGCUGGAGGCGUGCUAGGUGUGGAGCUCUUCUCCUCUCUCCCUGACCCUUCAGGCCAUCUGUCUGCUCUGUGUUUGCUAUUCUAGCACAUCCAAGCAUCCCAGGCUGCUGACAUCAACAGACUGGACCCAAAAGGCAACAGUUGUCCCUAGAAGGGUGUCAGGACUUGAAGGGUGUGCGUUUUUACCCUACUGGUGAGCUCACACAUUAGCUGCAGUUUCCUGGAGGCUGAUAGAAGACACAACACUCCUGGCUCAGAGACAAAGGAGUUCACUGAGUGCGGCAGAGCACGUACCAUUGGCCCCAGUGGGCAUGGGGCAGGUGGGCCUGGGUGGGUACCUGUCCACACAGGAGGAGUGUUAUAGCUGUGGAAGCUUGAGCUCAGGGCACCUGAAGGUUUUAGUAAUGGUAGUGAGCAUGCCUGCCCUUUGCUCUGGAAGGAGAGACUUUGCACAGAGCGUUUCUCAGCCUAGGAACCAGGGACACAUUGGGCUGAAAAUUCUUUGUUGUUGGGGGCUUUCCUCUGCAUUGUAGGGUGUUUGGCAGCAUCCAUGGCCUCAACUCACCAGACGCUGUUGGCAUCCCUACCCCAGUGAUGAACAGCAAAGAUGUCUCCAGACUUUGCCGAAUGUCCACUGAGGGGCAAUCCAGCCAUUUCUCUAUAGUGGGCACAAACAUGUAUUCACUACUUGAACAUCCUCUAGAAGAAAGAGCAGCCUUAAAGCAAAGGGCAGGUGAGUGUUGCGUUGCCUGGGCUGGUCUGGAAGGCAGUAAUGCUCAGUGUCUGGUCGGGGUGUAGGAGAGAUCUGUAAGAUACCUCAUGAGCUAUACACCCAGCCUCAGACAACACAUUGUUUUUCAUGAAAGGAAAGUCAUUUGGUAGACUUUUAACAUUCGAUUAAGGCCUACUUACCAGUACCCUAUGAAGUUACUAAGGGCCAAUAAAAUCAGAUUUUUAAACCAGAGAUACACCAAACUACAACACACCUAGAGAUGAAACUCAACCAUCAGCUGAGUAUUGCCAUUACAGAAUAAAUGUCUAGGACAUAAGAAUAAAUCUAAAUUUUAUUUUAAAAAGUGAUCAUUAUUUUCUGGUGGUCAGAUUCUAAGUUUGAUAGAUUGCUUUUAUGGUCAUCCUACUGUGUACAUUUGUGAUGGAAAAUAUUUGCUUAAUUUCUGCUGAAGAAGUUAGAGCAUAUGUGUGACCAGCAUGAGGUGCUGAGACCACGGCCACUGAGGUGAAGGUGGUUUGGUGGUCCAGCCACUGAAGGUGAUAUUGCCAGCAUUAUAUUUUGUGAUAGUAAAUGUAAAUUUAUACUUCAGCUGAUUGACAAAUGUUAACAUAUAAAAAAAAUUAGAGGAUUUUCACUCCAACUUAUAUCUUUAAUACAUAAUUUUGAAAGUCAAUGUUUAGAUGUGGACAAUAAACCCAAGUGAACUGAUUUGUCCAAAGUGCUGGCAAUCUUAUGCUGACUGGACAUGAGGGCAGCCUAUGAAUCACGUGACUGUCGAGCAGUCACAAUUAGGGGGCCAGCAAUGACGUGGAUGCAGGCAUUUGGCUGAUUUCCAUUCUAAAGGCCAAACGUGAGUCAAAUAGCAGAUUUUGACUAAACAUUGAUACUUCAACCUAGUUUACUGAGGAUUUAUUCAGAUUAUCCUGAGAAGUCUGGCUCAUCUACAAAACUGGGCACCAUGGCCAAUUUCCUACUGCAGAUAAAACAUGAAAGGCAGAUGCUACGUUCUUUCACAGCUCUUGACUUUCUCAUUUUCACUGGCUGUUCUUCUUGACUUUAAUGAUAAACUACUAUUAAUUCAGCCUUACCAUUACUAAUAUAAGUUUUUCCCUAUAAUUCUAUCUGUUGACAUGUAACUAUUCACUGUUGUCAUUUGAAUUAAUUAUAUUUUUAAUUUUUUUUCACCAUGUACAAAAUAGAAAAGAACUUUAAUACACAUUCAGGAAGCAUUCUGUUUAGUAAAACAAAAGCAAUCUAAAAGAUAAAUGGGCAAAGAAUCGUGGAGAGACAAUUCACAAGUUUGGUUUUCGUGGCGUUUCAUCAGGAUUAGACUCAGGCCAUGCAUUUUUGGCAGGAAUUCUGCAGAGCUGCCCCUGCACCCUCAGCGCAUCACACCAGGAAGGCUUGGGAGUUUGUUCCAUCACUGACAAUGUUAACAUUGAUUAUUUGGCUUAGCUGAUAUUCACCAGAUUUCUGCACUAUAUAAUGUUGUCAUUUGAAUUAAUUACAUUUUUUCCCUAAAAUCAAGUAUGGAAACUUAAGGCCACGUGCACUGUGGUUUAAAUAUGAUUCUCUACCAUUCCCUUGACUGUGAGGUGCCAAGACAUUUGGUCAAACAUUAUUCUGAAUGUGUCUGUGAGGUUGUUUUUGGAUGUGAUUAACAUGUGAAUAGGUCGACUGAGUAAAGCAGAUUGCCCUCGUUAAUGUGAGUGAUCCUCACCCAAGCUCUUGAAGGCUGAAUAGCACAAAAUGGUUCAGUAAGAGGGAAAUUCACCUGCCUGCCUUUUGGAGCUGGACAUUGAAUUUCUCCUGCCCUGGGACUGGAAUCUACACCAUCAGCUCUUCUCGGGUCUUCAGACUUGCACUGAAGCUACACCACUGGCUUUCCUGGGUCUCCAGCUUGUUGACUACAGGUUGUGGGAUUUCACUGCCUCCAUAAUCACAUGAACCUAUUUUUGUAACAAAUCGUCUUUCUCUCUCUCUCCCUAUUGGAUCAGUUUCUCUGGAGAACUAAUAAAGGGGACUAUCUCAUAAAAAACAGAAGCGAGGGAGUGAGAAUGUGUUUCAUUGAAAAGAGAACCAUCAGUUAAGUUCUUCUUACUGUGCAGGUUACUACCGAGAAAAGCUGGACGAGACCUUAGGAAUCGUGUUUCGGAGUUGUUUUGCUGGAGGGCUGUGAUGCUUGAAUUUUAUCCACGGAUUCCCUUCUCCCAGGGAUUGUCCUGGGACACUGAUUUCCCCACUUUCAAGUCGUGUCUGGGUGUAGCUCAGUGCCUUCUGCGACUUUGGGGUGCUGAGAGACCAGCGCUCCUAGCCUGGGAGCUGUUGUCACGCAGCGUGGAGCUGUCCACCACGUGGUGCUGAAGUUUCGCGGGCUGGGAGGAAGUGGUGGGUUAUCCUUCCCGAGGAUCUACUCCCACACAAGUGUAGUAAAACUGCUGGUUAUUUUUAAGAUUAUGGGACAUAGUUUUAUAUUACAUGGAAAGCUCCAUGGGAACACAGGUUUUUAAAAUUUUGUGUAUAGAUGCAUCUUUAAUGCCUGAUACAUAAAGAAAACACUAUAUUUUUGUUGAAUGAAUAAAUAUAAACUCAGGCAUGUGAGCUCAUAUUGCCUUCUUAUAAUGAGGAUUUUCUAUAUGUUGCUGAAACAUUUUCUGUAUGUUUUCUAUAUGUUACUGCAACAGUUCUUUCCUCCCCAGUUCUUUGUCAUCUGAUUUAUUUUCUCCUUGAAAAAGAGAGGUAGGAAAGGUGGGCUUCUGGUUCUUCUGCCCACGUGCAAGCAACUGCUCUGAGCCAGUCCCAACAGCGGUUCCAAUGCUGAGCUCUGGCGUGACAGUUUUUGUCCAGAGUUGGUGAUCUUGGGACUGAGGCAAAGAGAUGAAGAACGAGAGGGGAUCAUCGCUGGAAAGGCUGACCAAGGGCAGUGGGGAGCUGCUUUCUUUAUAUAUUUGAGUGACAAGGGCUUGGAUGCUACCUUUUACAACCCAGUUUUGUGAUAAGCAGCAUCUGUAAAGCUUAAUCAGGACAUGGAUUGGAGUGGCUUUGCCUUGUUUUUAAUCUUCACUACUCUUUCUCCCUUGGGUUGUAAAUGGAAAUCUUUCAGUGCACUGGCCAAUGGGAUAUAAACACAUCCUUUUCCAGGAAAGGAUUCUGUGUAAGCUUAAAGGAAUUUAUUAAAUUAGUAUGUAGGAUAUGAUUUCAUCCAAGUAAUAAAAGCUGCAGAUGCUUGAAAAGAAAUGGUGUUCAAUCUUCAGUUCUCCCACACAGGUGCUCUGUGCUAGAGAUGCCUGGCUCUGAGAGGGCCUUCCUCGGGAAGGGUAAUCAGCAAGGAGACAAAUGAGCGUUCCUGACUUUCAUACUGUACAUGUCGGCUCAUCACCAGCAGAGGUUGGAAGUCAUGGAUUUCAUUACCACAGUGCAUUAAGGGCCAAGGGAAAAAAAAUCCAAUUUGCUACUGCCUCAGUGACUUUGUGUUUUAAUCAAAUGGAUAGGAAAGAAUCAUUAACUGAUGCUCAGACUGAUUAAAAUUCCAGGGAGAAGGAAAAGAAAUGAGAUUGUGACACAGCCUUGGAAGGUGUCUUGUUCCCUGGCAUCCCUGAGCCUACAAAGCCUUUCACUGUUGACUGUUACCAAGUUGUUUACCUAGCGUCCUGCAGCAGAUUUGGACAAAAGGGGUGGGAAGCCUGAUCACCAUCCUUGCACUCAGGAGUCCUUACCAUAAGGUGACUGUUCUUAUGGGGAUGAGCCAGCAAGAGGCUCAUGUAAAUCUCCUCCUGUGUGCUGAUAAAAAAAAAGUUUCCAUUUCCCUGCACCUUAAAUGUUGAUUUAAAAUCACAGAAACUUUUAAAGAUGUGGCCACAGUAGUGAUUAUCUAUGUAUUUGCAGGGUUAUUUGAAGCGUAGAAGGAAGCAGCGAAUUCAUUUGAAAACACUCUUGAAAGCUAUGAAGUGCUACUCAAAUUUAUAGCACCUGCUGUUACUAUUCUUAUUAUU